rnacentral:lncRNA from 1 species
CAAGCAUUUAUUAGCUCACACAGUUUCCAUAGGUCAUGAAUUUGGUAGCAGCUUAGCUGGGUGAGUCUGACUCAGGGUCUCUCAUGAAGCUGCAGCCAAGAUGUUUGUGUGGGCUAACAGCAAUCUGAAGGCUUGACUGUGGCUGAAGGAUUAACUCUAAAAUGGCUCACUCACAGGAUUGCUGGCAGAAGGCCUCAGUUCAUUGCUGGCUGUUGCAGGAGACCUCAUUUCCUUGCCAGGUGGAUUUCUCUAUGAGGCUGUUCAGUGUGACCUCACAACAUGGCAGCUAGCUUCCCCUAGAGCAUGUAAUCCAAGCUUCCUCCAGAGUGUGCCAUCCAAGAAAGGAAGUCAACGUGCUUUUUAAGAUAUUGUCUCUAAAUUCACAUCCUGUCACUUUCUUUACUAGAAACAAGUCACUACGUCCAACCUACUCUCAAGAGGAGAGGAAUUAGGCUCCAUCUCUUGAAGGCAAGAAUAUUAGAGAAUUUGUGUGCAUAAUUUAAAUCCACCAUAGACAUGUUAACUUAUCUAGAGCAAUGGAACUAAUAAGUGGAAAAGCCUGCAUUUGAACUUAUUUCAGUCUUAGUCUGGAACCAAUGUUUUAAUUGCAGCUCUCCAGUGCCUAGGAAAACUAUAUAUUCUAAUGUAUUAUCUCUUGAGAGCACAUUUAGAAACCAAAUGCAAUCUAAAUGUAAGUAUCUACUUUAAAUUUUCUUGAUUUUAAAAAGACAUAGCAUUUCAAAAAUCUAUUUAUAAGUUCCCAAGUGCAAUUUGACAUUAUAGUCUCAUCAUUUGAAACUUUUCCUCUUUCCUAAGAAAUUGGGUAGAUAUUAAGCUCACAAAGAAGGUAAAACAACCAGCAAGUUGUUUGGAAUUCCAGUAUCUAUUUCCGGAAAUUCCAGUUAAACUUCUCUUUUUUAGGAAACCUCAGAGUGACAGCCAUGCCCAAACUCCUCUUUGACAGUCUCUUCUAUAUUCCUGCUUAAGAUGUGCCCCACAUAGUUAUGCUCAGGGAAGUGGUACAAUCAGGGAAGCACAGUUUGAAUGAUGUUUACAAUCUUUACUUGAUCUCUCAAAAAAUAAUAAAGGUGAUUCAAGUACAUAGUUGACAUGAAUUCUUACUAAAAUUCCAAAUACCAAGGAAACGCCCCAGAGCCUCUCAUCAUUCUGAGGAAAGAAUGCUUUGCAUUCUCUCCACCAUUCCAUGCCCCACUUUCUCCGCCUCUCCCACUCCACCCACCAUGUGUGCUUUCACACGUUUUUCUUUGGGCCUGUAACUGCUCAGAAGUAUAUUAGCUAUGCUUUUCUCCCCACUCUUGCUGAAGAAUUUGGCAACGGAACUGUUGUCCUUUCUGCUUCUUCACGCACAGACUCUUCGUCACCAGAGCCCAAAGCACCAAUGACCAUAAGAGCAGUAGAAACAGCAAAAUAAUCUACUAAUCCACAACCUUUCAUGGCAGUUAGAGAGAAGGGGGAUCUACAUAUAUGAUUAUUUUCUCUGCUACUCCAGACAUAGGUGACUGGACCAGGAACUGGUGUCUGACAUAAAGGCAGCCAUCUGCAGGAUGAGCAGGAAUCUGAGAAGUGGCUUGGCAGAAACACAGUCCAGGCUAAGGGAUCCAGAGUUAAUGGUGACUGAGAAAACCCCUUGCACUCUUUUUUUUUUUUUUCUAGGAAAUUUAACUGUGAAACACUUAGUAAGGAAAUAAAUGAGUAGAGAGAGCAGAAGCCUAGAGAUGAAGACCUAUAAGGCAGUAAGCCUUGUGUGAUUAGCCCUGAGUGACAAGGAAGAAAACUAGGUUUAAAACAAAGUCUAAUUAACUGAGAACUCAAGUGUGACUCUUCCUCGCAAUGGAGGGAUCUUAUGUACCUACUAAAAAGGAUAUAAAUUGUGUUUUCUAUCUUUCGACAACUUUUAUUUAGGGUUUAUCAUUUAUUCAUAUAUUUAUUUACCUCAAUGUCAGCGCUAACCUGGUUUCUACAGUAAUAAUGAUAGCUAACAUUUCUUGGAUGGUUACUAGGCAUCAGCACUGUUCUAAGUGGUGAAUUAUAUUAGCAUGUGUCUGUUACACUUCUCACUUUAUAUGAAGAUGUGAAGACAUGGUAUCAAACUAACUGGCUUCCUGUCAUAUAGCUAGCGAGUGGCAGAGGCAGCAUCUUUGUCCAUUUGUGCUACUAUGACAAAAUACCAUAAAGUGGGUAAUUUUAUUUUAUUUUUUGGCUAAAAGAACAGAAAUUUAUUUCUCACAGUUCUGGAGGCUGGGAUGACAAGAUCAACAUUCUGGCAAGUGCAGAGAGACAGAGAGCUCUGGUCUCUUUUCUUAUAGUGACACUAAUGCUAUUGGAUCAGGACCCCACACUUAUUACUUCAUUUAUGCUUAAUUACCUCCAUAAAGACCCUACCUCCAAAUACAGUUAUAUUGGGGGUCAGGGAUUUAGCGAAUAAAUUUGCAGAGGACACAAACAUUCAGUUCAUAGCCACUAAUAUCGUCCUUUUAAUUGGAAAGUCGCUGGUAGAUUUAUCAACUUUGUCUAGGUCCACAAAGUAAAUUGGGGUUAAAGAAAAAAUUUAGGAACAAUAGAAAUAUAUUUCUCAUAAUUCUGGAACAUGGGAAGUUAAAGAUCAAGGUGCCAGCAGGUUUGGUGUCUAGUAAGGACCUGGUCUCUGCUUUCAAGAUGGCACCUGGUUGCUGCAUCCUCCAAAGGGGAUGAAGGCUGUGUCCAGAAAGCAAAAGGAAACGAACACUAGUCGCCUCCAGACAAAUUUAUAAAUUCACUAAUCCCUUUCAUGAGAGCUCCACUCCGUGACUUAACUAGCUCCAAAGGCCCCACCUCUUAAUACUACUGCACUGGAGAUUAAGAUUCGACAUAAAUUUUGAAGGAACACAAACACUCAUACCAUAGCGGUAAGGUUUGAAACCACAUAGUCUGGCUCCAAAGGCUGUACUUCUAACUGUUGUAUUCUUCUGCUGCUCUAAAUGAAACAGUUGCCUCCUCACUGUGAGAUAAUUUCCAAAUGUCUUACCCUGACAUGGAAGGCUCCCACAGUCUAGCCCACAACAAUCUUUAUCAAAUCCCAUUACUUCAAUUUUUAUAAACCCCAGCAUCUCCCCUCAUAGUUCCCUAAGAAAUGAGCCUGCAGGCUUUGUGCUGCCUCUCUCUGCACCUUUAUGUCUCCUGAAACUGGAAAACCUAACUAACUACAGGUGCGAUCACAGUAAACCGACACAUAAAAAGCAGCAGGCCUUCCGAAUGCUACAGUCUCAUACAUCUGAAUGCUGAGGCUGUAGAAUCCAACUUUGACAAACAACGUAAUCUUUCUGACUGCUUUAUAAGUGUGUAUUUAGGUUCUCAGCUGAAGAACAAGAAAAAUGAAAUUUAGUGCCAAGCUGUGUGGACAUGGUCAGACUCUUGGAUAAUUUAUUUUUUAUGACAGAUUCCAUUUUCUGCUGCUGGCAUGAUUACACGGGAAGACAUUUAUCCACUGAGAGUACGUUUGUGUCUUUUGAAUGGGCUAACUCAGUGGUAGGAUUUAAUUUGUGCAAUAUUAUUCACUUAUUAGACCAAAAGACUAAGUACAUGCUCGGCAUUACUAAGUUUAUUGAAAUGUUAUUACAAGAAUUCGUCUUGAGAGGCAAAAGGAACAUCAGUGCUUAGCCUGAGAUUUUCUCAUUAUCUUCGAAGUGCAGAUAUCAUUGAGAUGAUUAGUUUCCUGGAUAAAUUUAGAUUUGAAGAGGUGUGAAUAUGUGCUCUGUUAGAAAUGUUGUGUUGCAGUAUCGUUUAUACUGUAAGGCUGUUGCUGAAAACUGAAGUACGUAGAGAGUGAACUGGGUGAGUGUGUGUUAACAGCGAAUUGCAAACUCUACUUGAGAAUGCUCCUCGGAACAAAGGGACUGUCACUUAUCAGGUCUAGCCAAUUGUUGCAAUGGUGGAAUGUAGCCCAACAUUGACAGAUAGCCUCAUUUUUAAGAAAAACAAAAUUUUUGGAUAUCUAUAUAAAAUACCCUGAUGUUUAAAUGUUGGUAAGUAUGGUAGACAGAAUUCUAAAAAUGACUUCUCUUGGCUGUCUUCCUUGUGUAACCCCUCCCCUUUGAAUGUGAGUGGAAUUUGUCAAUAUAAUGACGUAUUACUCCUGUGACUGUUAUGUGCCCAAAGGUGAUUAUCUAGAUGGGCUCAAUCUAACCACGGAAUCAGAAAGAGGAAAAUACAAGAAGGAUACCACAGAUCUUUGCUGGCUUUGAAGAUACAGGGGGCUAUAUCUUCAGCCUCUAGGAUCUGAGCACAGUCUGGGGCUGGUAAGCUAGCCAGAAAAUGGGGACCUCAAUCUCACAUUCACAAGAUACAGAAUUCUGCCAACAACCAGAAUGAGCUUGGAAGUGAAUUCUUCCCGAAAGCCUUCAAAUAAGUGUUCAUCCCAGCCGACAUUUUCUUUUUGAUCUUGUGAGAUUCCGAUCAGAGAAUCCAAUGGAGUGCAACAUAAAUAAUGACUUACAGAUUUGUGAGCCAAUAAAUGGGUAUUGUCUUAUAUUGAUAAGUAUAUGGUUAUUUGUUAUUUAGCAAUAGAAAAUUAAUGCAGUGUAUUAGGCUGCUAUGAAGAAAUACCUGAGACUGGGUAAUUUAUAAAGAAAAAGAGGUUUAAUUGACUCACAGUUCCACAUGUCUGGGAAGGCCUCUGGA